UACGUAGGGGGCGAGCGUUGUCCGGAUUUACUGGGCGUAAAGCGCGUGUAGGCGGCCCGUUAAGUGGGGUGUGAAAGCCCGGGGCUCAACCCCGGGACGCCGCUUCAAACUGGCGGGCUUGAGGACGGAAGAGGGGAGUGGAAUUCCUGGUGUAGCGGUGAAAUGCGUAGAGAUGCGGAGGAACACCGAUGGCGAAGGCAGCCCCCUGGGCUAACACUGACGCUCAGGCACGAAAGCGUGGGGAGCAAACAGG
rnacentral:rRNA from 1 species